UACGUAGGGUGCGAGCGUUGUCCGGAAUUACUGGGCGUAAAGAGCUCGUAGGUGGUUUGUCGCGUUGUUCGUGAAACUCACAGCUUAACUGUGGGCGUGCGGGCGAUACGGGCAGACUGGAGUACUGCAGGGGAGACUGGAAUUCCUGGUGUAGCGGUGGAAUGCGCAGAUAUCAGGAGGAACACCGGUGGCGAAGGCGGGUCUCUGGGCAGUAACUGACGCUGGAGGAGCGAAAGCGUGGGGAGCGAACAGG
rnacentral:rRNA from 1 species